GAAACACGGACCAAGGAGUCUAGCAUGUGCGCGAGUCAUUGGGAAUAACUAAACCUAAAGGCGCAAUGAAAGUGAAAGUCCGCCUAGCGCGGACCAAGGGAAGAUGGGCGGUAUCCUACAAAAGAGAUCCGCCCCGCACUCCCGGGGCGUCUCGUUCUCAUUGCGAGAAGAGGCGCACCAAGAGCGUACACGCUGGGACCCGAAAGAUGGUGAACUAUGCCUGGUCAGGACGAAGUCAGGGGAAACCCUGAUGGAGGUCCGUAGCGAUUCUGACGUGCAAAUCGAUCGUCGGAACUGGGUAUAGGGGCGAAAGACUAAUCGAACCAUCUAGUAGCUGGUUCCCUCCGAAGUUUCCCUCAGGAUAGCUGGCGCUCGUCGCCUACGAGUCUCAUCCGGUAAAGCGAAUGAUUAGAGGCAUUGGGGUCGAAACGGCCUCAACCUAUUCUCAAACUUUAAAUGGGUGAGAUCUCCGGCUUGCUCGAACUAUUGAAGCCGCGAGACACGGAUCAGAGUGCCAAGUGGGCCAUUUUUGGUAAGCAGAACUGGCGCUGUGGGAUGAACCAAACGCCGAGUUAAAGCGCCUAAAUCGACGCUUAUGGGAUACCAUGAAAGGCGUUGGUAACUUAAGACAGCAGGACGGUGGCCAUGGAAGUCGGAAUCCG
rnacentral:rRNA from 1 species